AGAGUUUGAUCAUGGCUCAGGACGAACGCUGGCGGCGUGCUUAACACAUGCAAGUCGAACGGUGAUAAUCAAGCUUGCUUGGUUUGAUCAGUGGCGAACGGGUGAGUAACACGUGAGUAACCUGCCCCAGACUCUGGGAUAACCCCGGGAAACCGGAGCUAAUACCGGAUAUGACCCUCGUACGCAUGUGCAGGGGGUGGAAAGUUUUUCGGUCUGGGAUGGGCUCGCGGCCUAUCAGCUUGUUGGUGAGGUAGUGGCUCACCAAGGCGACGACGGGUAGCCGGCCUGAGAGGGCGACCGGCCACACUGGGACUGAGACACGGCCCAGACUCCUACGGGAGGCAGCAGUGGGGAAUAUUGCACAAUGGGCGGAAGCCUGAUGCAGCGACGCCGCGUGAGGGAUGACGGCCUUCGGGUUGUAAACCUCUUUCAGCAGGGAAGAAGCGAAAGUGACGGUACCUGCAGAAGAAGCACCGGCUAACUACGUGCCAGCAGCCGCGGUA
rnacentral:rRNA from 1 species